rnacentral:lncRNA from 1 species
CCUAAAUGAUGGAUCAUCCUUCAUGGGAGAACCAAAAUGUUAGCUGGUGUACAGUUGUGUUCCUUUAUUUGCUGUUAAACAGUUUUCUCUGCAUCCAUAGCUUAACAAAGACCUCCUUUCCUCUCCUUAAAAUCUUUUGCUCUUAGUCCUUUUUUCUUUUUUUGCCCCCUAUGGUUGAAUUGAUAAUAUAUAUUAAAAAAUUGUAUCCAUGCUCUCAAGGAGCUUGAAUUUUCUUUUGGGAUACAUGAUAUAUGUAUGAGGAAAGGGUCGCUCACUUGCCUCGGUGAAAUGGCUACAUGUGUAUGUUUUUCUUUUCUUUUCGUAUUCUUCAUCCAGAAUGUUUUUAAUAUAAACUGAUUCUGCUCCGGCAUUCUCGGUUCUGGAAAUGUGUACUUAAUUGUCUUUAUCGUUUACCUGUGUGUCUUGUACCCAUGACAUACUUAAGAUGUGGCUUUCCUCCAUUACUCUAGAAAAGGACAAUUUUAUAUUUAUGCCCACAAGCAGCUCAUCAUCUUAUAAUUACAAAGAGUAGGACAGGAGGCAGUGGCAGAGUGUCCUACCCUGCAUGGAAAUGGGAAUCAAACCAUUCUGUACUCUGACCUACUUUAAGCACUGUGAUGCUUUGAUUAGGUAAGAGUUUUUUUCUUUUAUUGUUGCCAGCUGGUAUCUGAUGCAAAUAACCAUCUCUCCUGUAUCUCAUUUUGUCCUUAACCUUAUCCCCUGGGCUGUAUCUUUCCAUUUUGCAUAGCUGCCAAUGUCUGAACUUUCAAAUGAACUUAACUCCCCUGUCACAGAGUUUUGGAUCUCAGUUGCCUUCUAUUCUUCACUGAUUUAACUGAAGACAGGCAGUCAUAGUACCUGUUAAUCAAGAAGAGGAAAAGCCAUUGUCUCAGACAUAGGUUCUCUCUGAAAGCUCACUGUAAUAUCUGUAUAGAUGGUGAUGAUUUAAGAAUUCGGAGUUUCCCCCUCUUUUAGGUGACAUAGCAGUUUUCAUUGUAGGAAAGGAAAUUGUGAUAUAGAUUAAUAAGCGUGAAAGCGUUCCCUCGAUCCCACCAUGGAUAUAAUCUGAAUUUGCAGUUGUCCUUCUGGAAGAAGUUCUUCACACUGUCUAUGAAGGGUAUGAGUCCCUGGAUUGGGGAAUUUUUACUCUUCCCCAGAAAAUUCUUAGGAGGCAUGCGGAGGGGCACAUCUGCUUUAGAAGUAGUGGGCUUGCUGUAGAUAAUCUCCCAGAAUCCCUUCUUGCUUUAUGAUUCUUUGAUAAGCCUUUCUAUAAUUCAGAUACUGAAAAAAGAAAUAUCACUGCCCGCAACCUCUAAAACCUUAGAGGAGCAGUUGGCUCAUUCCUGUUGGUAGUGUUGAAUGCUUUAGAAGGAAGGCACUAGAUAAACAUAAGGCAUUUUUUGUUAUUACUGUUGCCAUUACUUGUUAUCAUUUAUGUAGCACCUGCCUCACUAAUGCAAUUGCUUACAGGAGCUGCAAUUUUAUUCCUGAUGGCCACUUUUUGUCAUUAUGUAAUCUGUGGUAAACCACAUACCAUCUAAAUGUUGCCAUUGGAUGUCUUUUUCUUGAAACUCCAGCCUUAGAAUACUGUUUCUGUCCCAUUUGUCAAUGAGCCACUAAUGGAAAAAUUUUAGGAACAUAUGGUACAGGGUGCCCAGGAGAAGAAAGUAGAUUAAAAACCAGGUAACUCCAACUGAUUACCCCAUCAUAGUUCUUAUUACCUCAGAAAACUAUUAAAAGAACAUUAAUAAGUUUUGCAUGCAUGGCUUCAUUUUUAUAACCAUUUCCUAAAUUGCUAAGUUGCCUUUUUAUUUACUUUCAAAUUUAUAAACAUAAUUUCCAAAUCUAUGCUUUCAUUUACUAAUGUAUAGCUCAUGGUGUAUAUGCAUGUGUGUGUUUUUCUGGUAAAUUACCAUUGCUUCCUUAUUCAGAAGCUUUGAGUCUCUUAUUCCGAAAGGUUUCUGCCAGCAGUUAUCAGUUUGCAUGUUAUGGGACAGUAUAUUGACCUGAUGGACUUGGCCAGUUUCUCUUGCAAAGCUAAAUAGCUAGCUUCCCAUUAUAAGGUCGAGAAAGAUGUGGUUGCAGAAAUAAGUUAUUUAUUCUCUAUUUUCUUCUCAUCCAAAAACUUAAAAAACUUAAUGUUUUGAAAUGUGAAAUCCCUUGAUAUGUGGGGUAUUUUUACAUAAUGAAUCAAAGCACUUCUCUCAUUAGCUAGUUCCCUAUUGCUGAUGUCACUAACAUUUGUAUUUAUAACUCUAGGCACAUGAACGUUUUCUCAUUAAAAUAGGUAACAAAAUAGCAUUGAGAACUAUGUCUAGAUACUCAUGUUGCAACAGAACAAAGGGUGGGGGAAAAACUGUAAUUGUAAUGUAUACAUGUAAGGAUAACCUGACCCCCUUGCUGUACAGUGGGAAAAAAAAAAAAAGUAACAAUAAAGUCUUGGCUCAUGUUUUGAAUAUUUCUGUCUACAUGAGAUAAUUAGGUUUAAUUAAGCUGCUUUUAGUCUUUAUUUACUUUUUUUUUUUUCUUAUUGGAAAUGAUUGUCCCCAUUUUUUCCCCAAACAAUUUGAGAAUUUGUGCACCGCACAGGAAACCAAAGUUAGGUAUGCCAUCUCUCAAGAAUCUGUGCCCAAAUGGCCUUUGCAUUAAUUUUCCAUUUCUGAAUGUCUAGUCACUGUUACCUGCUCAAUUUUUUUGCACUGCUCGCUAGCAUCUCUCUAAUAGCUUUGAAAGCUAUUGGCUGUAAACACUUGGGAAUAAUGAUACAUGAUCCCCCAUAAAUAUAUAUAUAUUUUUAAGGUGUGAAUCAUCCAUCCAGGUAUAUCUCUAUUUUACUGAAAAAUUCUUAUCCGUGCACUUGGACCUUUACUUGGUGGGUGUUUCAGCAUGAUGAUAGAGUGAAAAAUUCUAGGCAGAGUUGGGAGUAAUUUGGAGGAAAGAAAUUUUGUCCAGACAUUCUAUUUGCCUCAUGUGAGUGAAGGGCUGCCAGUGGGGAAGGCAGAGGCUCAGGUCUCUUGUGGUCACACACUUUUGAUUCCUAGGAAACUCCAAGGUCCUGAACUCUCACCUAAGUCUGUCUCUUCUAUUAGUACACAGUAUAAGUGCAUUUUCUUAAAAAAAUUGGGGGUGGGGUGGGGGGAGAGUUCCCAUCAUGGCUCAGUGGUAAUGAACCUGACUAGUAUCCAUGAUGCUGCAGGUUCAGUCCCUGGCCUUGCUCACUGGGUUAAGGAUCCGGCAUUGCCAUGAGCAGUGGUGUAGGUUGCAGACGUGGCUCAGAUCCUGUGUUGCUGUAGCUGUGGUGUAGGUUGGCAGCUACCGCUCUGAUUAGACCCCCUAGCCUGGGAACUUCCAUAUGCUGCAGGUGUGGCCCUAAUGAGACCAAAAAAAAAAUAAUAAUAAUAAUAAUAAAUUUUUUUUUUUGGUUUAAAACAACAAACAUUUAUCAUCUCACAAUUGCUAUGCGUCAGGAAUUCAGGAGCGGCUUAGCUAGUUGGUUCUGGCCCGUGGUCUCGCAUGACAGGCGCCAGUCAGGACUGUGGUCACUUAAGACUUGACUGCAGCUAGAGAGUGUGGCUGCUAGCUGGAGACCUCAGGUAAAAACUUAAUUCAGAGAUUACUUUGAGAUAAUACAUUGCUUGGAGAAGACCCAUUUACCUUUACCUUUUUAUUAUUGAGAUAAUAUUGUCUAAGUUUAAUGUGUACAGUGUGUUGGUUUGAAUGUUUAUAUAUUCCAGUGUGAUAACCACGAUAGCAUUAGCUAAGACCUUUAUCCAAUCACAUAAUUAUCAUUUCUUUUUUGUGGUGGGAACAAUUAAGAUCUGGUCCCUUAAUUUUGAAGUUUAUAGUACAGUAUCAUUGACGAUAAUCACUAUGCAUUAGAUCUGUAGGACUGACUUUUCCACUGGUUACAAGUGUGCACCCUUACACAGCAUCUCCCCAAUUUCUCCACCCCCAGCCGCUGGUAACCACCGUUCAACUCAGUGUUUUUACAAGUUUGGCCUUUUUAGAUUCCACAUAGGAGUGCUGGCAUACAGUAUUUGCCUUUUUCUGUUUGGCUUCUCACUUAGCAUAGCCUCAUGGUCUAGCCACGCUGUUGUAAAAAGCAGGGUUUCCUUCUUUUUCAUGACUGAAUAAUACUCCAUUAUGUUUGUGUGUGAGUGACCUCACAUCUUCCUUCUUUAUCCAUUAAUCUGUUGAUGGAUACUUACUUAAGUUGUCUUCCUAUAUUGGACAUUGUGAUUAGUGCGCAGUGACCAUGGGGAGUUCGGGUUAUCUCUUUGCUAGCCUGUUGUAUACAUAUAUGUAUCCUUUGCAUACAUACCCAGAAGAGGAGUUGCUGGAUCAUAUGGUAGAUCUAUUUUUAAUUUUUUGAGGUGUCUCUGUUCUGUUUUCCAUACAGUGGCUGCUAACAAUGCAUAGGGGUUCCUUUUUGUUCGUAUUCUCAACAUUUGUUAUCUCUUGUUUUUUUUUAAGAUAGCCAGAGAAUGUCCACUUAAAAGUGUCCACAAAGGGAGUUCCUGUUGUGGCUCAGCAGUAAAGAACCCAACUAAUAUCCAUGAGAAUGUGGGUUUGAUCCGUGGCCCUACUCAGUGGGUUAAGGAUACGGCAUUGCUGUGACCCGCGGUGUAGGUCACAGAUGCAGCUGGGAUCCUGCGUUGCUGUGGCUGUGGUGUAGGCUGGCAGCCGUAGCUCCAAUUCGACCCCUAUCUCGUGAACUUCCAUAUGCUGUGGGUGCGGCCCUAAAAAAAA